AGUGAACGCUGGCGGUAGGCCUAACACAUGCAAGUCGAACGGCAGCACAGUAAGAGCUUGCUCUUACGGGUGGCGAGUGGCGGACGGGUGAGGAAUACAUCGGAAUCUACUUUUUCGUGGGGGAUAACGUAGGGAAACUUACGCUAAUACCGCAUACGACCUACGGGUGAAAGCAGGGGAUCUUCGGACCUUGCGCGAAUGAAUGAGCAGAUGUCGGAUUAGCUAGUUGGCGGGGUAAAGGCCCACCAAGGCGACGAUCCGUAGCUGGUCUGAGAGGAUGAUCAGCCACACUGGAACUGAGACACGGUCCAGACUCCUACGGGAGGCAGCAGUGGGGAAUAUUGGACAAUGGGCGCAAGCCUGAUCCAGCCAUACCGCGUGGGUGAAGAAGGCCUUCGGGUUGUAAAGCCCUUUUGUUGGGAAAGAAAAGCAGCAGGUUAAUACCCCGCUGUUCUGACGGUACCCAAAGAAUAAGCACCGGCUAACUUCGUG
rnacentral:rRNA from 1 species